AGCACCAACUGUGUGAGAUUCUAAAUUUGGAGACGGAUGCCACUAUGGAUGCAUCUUCUUUGGAUGGGCUCAUCACUUCUGUGUGCCUGGCUCUUCUGCUCCUUUGUUACUAUGAGUUUUACAAAUCUCAUGGUCACCUUCUUCGGGAAUCCACAUUUGAAUCUUCAGACUCUGUCAAGCAAUUUGACAGGUGUGGUGACUUCUAAUGUGGGCCUCAUCAUUGUUUGCUGAGUGGGCUGACAAAGAAAGUAACUUUUGUUGAGAUAUCACUGCUCAUAUUCACUGUGCAUGAUUUAGGGAAUGUUGAAUGGCUUGCACAUAUAUAUUUUUUUCUAAAUCUAAGCCUUCUUUCUCAAGCUGCUCAAAAUUUGGUCUUUUGUAAUAAAAACUUAAUGUUUUUUUCUCUUG